GGGGGAUUAGCUCAGUUGGUAGAGCGCUUGCAUGGCAUGCAAGAGGCCAUCGGUUCGAAUCCGUUAUCCUCCA
rnacentral:tRNA from 2 species